AUAGCCACUAAUACUAACUAGUACCCCAUACAUUAGAUAACGUAGUCCUAGAUACACUAUGCCAGAAUAAAAGAUGGGAUGGUCACAGAUGGAACGUCUCUGAUCAUAGCUACAUUAACAAUUAGAUAAAUAUAUCUACCCCGACUCCGCCCCACACUCCACUCCUGUCUCCAAUCCACCCUGGCCCACCUCUAC